rnacentral:rRNA from 1 species
CUCCUACGGGGGGCAGCAGUGAGGAAUAUUGGUCAAUGGGCGCAAGCCUGAACCAGCCAAGUCGCGUGAGGGAUGACGGUCCUAUGGAUUGUAAACCUCUUUUGUCGGGGAGCAAGGCCCGCCACGUGUGGCGGGAAGGAGAGUACCCGAAGAAAAAGCAUCGGCUAACUCCGUGCCAGCAGCCGCGGUAAUACGGAGGAUGCGAGCGUUAUCCGGAUUUAUUGGGUUUAAAGGGGACGCAGGCGGUCUGGUAAGUCAGCGGUCAAAGCCCGGGGCU